ACGAACUGUGCGAACGUUAUUCGGAAUCACUGGGCUUACAGGGUGCGUAGGCUGCGAUGCAAGUCAGGUGUGAAAGCCCACGGCUCAACCGUGGAACUGCGCUUGAAACUGCAUUGCUCGAGUGAGCUAGAGGUACACGGAACUUCCGGUGGAGCGGUGAAAUGUGUUGAUAUCGGAAGGAACACCAGAGGCGAAAGCGGUGUACUGGAGCUUGUCUGACGCUGAGGCACGAAAGCCAGGGGAGCAAACGGGAUUAGAUACCCCGGUAGUCCUGGCUGUAAACGAUCAGAACUAGACGGAUGAGGGUUCGCCCCCAUCGGUCGUAGCGAAAGCGUUAAGUUCUGCGCCUGGGGAGUAUGGUCGCAAGGCUG
rnacentral:rRNA from 1 species